UACAGAGGGGGCAAGCGUUGUUCGGAAUUACUGGGCGUAAAGGGCGCGUAGGCGGCCAACUAAGUCGGACGUGAAAUCCCCGGGCUCAACCCGGGAACUGCGUCCGAUACUGGAUGGCUUGAAUCCGGGAGAGGGAUGUGGAAUUCCAGGUGUAGCGGUGAAAUGCGUAGAUAUCGGAAGGAACAUCAGUGGCGAAAGCGGGUCUCUGGGCCGAUACUGACGCUGAGGAGCGAAAGCGUGGGGAGCGAACAGG
rnacentral:rRNA from 1 species